rnacentral:tRNA from 1 species
GGGCCCGUAGCUCAGCCCGGACGGAGCGCUGGCCUUCGGAGCCAGAGGUCCCGGGUUCGAGUCCCGGCGGGCCCC